GGAGAGAUGGCCGAGUGGCUGAAGGCGCACGCUUGGAAAGCGUGUAUACCCUCACAGGUAUCGAGGGUUCGAAUCCCUCUCUCUCCG
rnacentral:tRNA from 1 species